rnacentral:pre_miRNA from 1 species
UAGCAGCACGUAAAUACUGGAGUUUGGGGAUGCCUCGUUGCUCUCCAGUAUUGCAUUGCUGCUUGA